UACAGAGGGUGCAAGCGUUGUCCGGAAUUAUUGGGCGUAAAGCGCGCGCAGGCGGUCCUUUAAGUCUGAUGUGAAAUCCCACGGCUCAACCGUGGAAGGUCAUUGGAAACUGGGGGACUUGAGUACAGAAGAGGAAAGCGGAAUUCCAAGUGUAGCGGUGAAAUGCGUAGAGAUUUGGAGGAACACCAGUGGCGAAGGCGGCUUUCUGGUCUGUAACUGACGCUGAGGCGCGAAAGCGUGGGGAGCAAACAGG
rnacentral:rRNA from 1 species